AGUGAACGCUGGCGGUAGGCCUAACACAUGCCAGUCGAACGGUAGCACAGUAAGAGCUUGCUCUUACGGGUGGCGAGUGGCGGACGGGUGAGGAAUACAUCGGAAUCUACUUUUUCGUGGGGGAUAACGUAGGGAAACUUACGCUAAUACCGCAUACGACCUACGGGUGAAAGCAGGGGAUCUUCGGACCUUGCGCGAUUGAAUGAGCCGAUGUCGGAUUAGCUAGUUGGCGGGGUAAAGGCCCACCAAGGCGACGAUCCGUAGCUGGUCUGAGAGGAUGAUCAGCCACACUGGAACUGAGACACGGUCCAGACUCCUACGGGAGGCAGCAGUGGGGAAUAUUGGACAAUGGGCGCAAGCCUGAUCCAGCCAUACCGCGUGGGUGAAGAAGGCCUUCGGGUUGUAAAGCCCUUUUGUUGGGAAAGAAAAGCAGCAGGUUAAUACCCCGCUGUUCUGACGGUACCCAAAGAAUAAGCACCGGCUAACUUCGUG
rnacentral:rRNA from 1 species